AAGACUCUGCAGUGUACGAAUUAGCUUCAUUUAAUUCAACCGACAUAUAUGAUCCGGGAAAUCACUUCUUAAGUACUAUAAGAAGCCCUCUUGAAGGGACCUUAGAAUGCUUGAGGGGAUUACCCACCUUAAGUUGGGGCGGGUCUGAAUUAGUGAAGUACCCGGCACCGCGGAGUUUUU
rnacentral:other from 1 species